GACGAACGCUGGCGGCGUGCCUAAUACAUGCAAGUAGAACGCUGAAGGAGGAGCUUGCUUCUCUGGAUGAGUUGCGAACGGGUGAGUAACGCGUAGGUAACCUGCCUGGUAGCGGGGGAUAACUAUUGGAAACGAUAGCUAAUACCGCAUAAUAGUAGAUGUUGCAUGACAUUUGCUUAAAAGGUGCAAUUGCAUCACUACCAGAUGGACCUGCGUUGUAUUAGCUAGUUGGUGGGGUAACGGCUCACCAAGGCGACGAUACAUAGCCGACCUGAGAGGGGGCUCGGACACACUGGGACUGAGACACGGCCCAGACUCCUACGGGAGGCAGCAGUAGGGAAUCUUCGGCAAUGGACGGAAGUCUGACCGAGCAACGCCGCGUGAGUGAAGAAGGUUUUCGGAUCGUAAAGCUCUGUUGUAAGAGAAGAACGAGUGUGAGAGUGGAAAGUUCACACUGUGACGGUAUCUUACCAGAAAGGGACGGCUAACUACGUG
rnacentral:rRNA from 1 species